AGCAGCCGCGGUAAUUCCAGCUCCAAUAGCGUAUAUUAAAGUUGUUGCAGUUAAAAAGCUCGUAGUUGAAUUUCGGGAUCAAUAUAUCGGUCGUGCCUUCGGUACGUACUGGUAUCAUUGGUUUCUCCUUUCUGACGAACCAUGAUGUUAUUAAUUUGGUGUUAUGGGGAGUUAGGACUGUUACUUUGAAAAAUUAGAGUGUUUAAAGCAGGCUUUAGCUUGAAUACAUUAGCAUGGAAUAAUGAAAUAGGACGUUCGAACCUAUUUUGUUGGUUUCUAGGAUCAACGUAAUGAUUAAUAGGGAUAGUUGGGGGCAUUAGUAUUCAAUUGUCAGAGGUGAAAUUCUUGGAUUUAUUGAAGACUAACUACUGCGAAAGCAUUUGCCAAGGAUGUUUUCAUUAAUCAAGAACGAAAGUUAGGGGAUCGAAGACGAUCAGAUACCGUCGUAGU
rnacentral:rRNA from 1 species